GAGCAAGCGUGCGUUCGUGAACGCGCGUCGAGAGUACCCGGAGAAAAAGCAUCGGCUAACUCCGUGCCAGCAGCCGCGGUAAUACGGAGGAUGCGAGCGUUAUCCGGAUUUAUUGGGUUUAAAGGGUGCGUAGGCGGGAUGCCAAGUCAGCGGUAAAAAUGCGGUGCUCAACGCCGUCGAGCCGUUGAAACUGGCGUUCUUGAGUGGGCGAGAAGUAUGCGGAAUGCGUGGUGUAGCGGUGAAAUGCAUAGAUAUCACGCAGAACUCCGAUUGCGAAGGCAGCAUACCGGCGCCCUACUGACGCUGAGGCACGAAAGCGUGGGUAUCGAACAGGAUUAGAUACCCUGGUAGUCCACGCAGUAAACGAUGAAUGCUAACUGUCCGGCUCGAAUGAGCGCUGG
rnacentral:rRNA from 1 species